rnacentral:misc_RNA from 1 species
GGAAGUAAAAGUCGUAACAUGGUCUCCGUUGGUGAACCAGCGGAGGGAUCAUUAUCGAGUUUAUAACUCCCAAACCCUAUGUGAACUUACCACUUGUUGCUUCGGCGCGCGCUUCGGCGCCGCCGAGGACACUUAAACUCUUUGUUUUUAUAAGCAUUUCUGAGUGGCCGAAAGGCAAAAUACAAAUGAAUCAAAACUUUCAACAACGGAUCUCUUGGUUCUG